CCUACGGGAGGCAGCAGUGAGGAAUAUUGGUCAAUGGGCGAGAGCCUGAACCAGCCAAGUAGCGUGCAGGAUGACGGCCCUAUGGGUUGUAAACUGCUUUUAUAAGGGAAUAAAGUGAGUCUCGUGAGGCUUUUUGCAUGUACCUUAUGAAUAAGGACCGACUAAUUCCGUGC
rnacentral:rRNA from 1 species